rnacentral:rRNA from 1 species
GAUGAACGCUAGCGACAGGCCUAACACAUGCAAGUCGAGGGGCAGCACAAGGUAGCAAUACUGAGGUGGCGACCGGCGCACGGGUGAGUAACGCGUAUGCAACCUGCCUGUAACAGGGGAAUAGCCUCUUGAAAGAGAGAUUAAUGCCGCAUAAUACGAGAUUCGGGCAUCCGGAUUUAGUUAAACAUUUAUGGGUUACAGAUGGGCAUGCGUUUCAUUAGGUAGUUGGUGAGGUAACGGCUCACCAAGCCGACGAUGAAUAGGGGUUCUGAGAGGAAGGUCCCCCACACUGGUACUGAGACACGGACCAGACUCCUACGGGAGGCAGCAGUGAGGAAUAUUGGUCAAUGGACGCAAGUCUGAACCAGCCAAGUCGCGUGAAGGAUGAAGGUAUUAUGUAUUGUAAACUUCUUUUGUCAGGGAAUAAUGGGUGUCACGUGUGACGCAGAGGAAUGUACCUGACGAAUAAGCAUCGGCUAACUCCGUGCCAGCAGCCGCGGUAAUACGGAGGAUGCGAGCGUUAUCCGGAUUUAUUGGGUUUAAAGGGUGCGUAGGCGGUUUGNUAAGUCAGUGGUGAAAGUUUGCGGCUCAACCGUAAAAUUGCCAUUGAAACUGGCGAACUUGANUACAGUA